rnacentral:tRNA from 1 species
GCUGGGGCUCAGUGGUAGAGCACUCCCUUAGCAUGUGUGAGGCACUGGGUUCUAUCCUCAGCACUGCA